rnacentral:lncRNA from 1 species
AAAAUGGUAAGUUAGGUUAGGUUAACUUAGUGGUCCAAACAAGGCUCAACACAAAAAUAAUGGGCUCCAAAUAAAUAACAUAGCCCUCCAAGUAAAUGGGACGGACCACGAGCAACACUAUUAAAAUAGGUUGCUUCUAACGGUCCAUAGAAAAUUGGGUUGGGUUGUCUCGAUGAUAGUGUCGACAUAUAAUUCAAUCAUAUGACUAAGGCCGACUGAUAAUAAAUAAAAUCGAGGUUACAUCAUUGCUCGAGAGGUCGUUUGACAACAAAUUGUCUAACAACCUCCACCUUGGUGUCAAAGGACCUGCAAAAGAAAAUGUCUCCCAUUAGUGACACCUCUGAUAGAAAAUCAAUAAAAUUGAAAAUCAUUUACUUGUACCAAUGUUUAGAAGUUCCUUGCAACUUCUAAACUUUGCCAGUGGUAGUAUCUUUGUCCCCAUAUCGGAAGGAUUGUAGUGGGUGUGGACCUUUUCAAUUUUUACCACCUCUUGAGAUACUAUAUCUCUAAUGAAGUGGAAUCUAACAUCAAUGUGUUUAGUGCGCUCGUGAAAAAUGGGGUUCUUGCACAAAUGUAUAGAUGACUGACUAUCAGAAUACACUACCACAUAAUCAUUCAAGGCACAUAGUUUAUGAAGUAGGCCUUUAAGCCAUAGAGCUUCUUUAAUAGCUUCAAUGGUGGCAAUAUAUUCUGAUUUUGUAGUGGAUAGUGCAACAAUGUGUUGUAAUUGUGAUUUCCAACUAACACAUGAAUUAGAUAAGGUAAACACGUAAGACAAAGUGGAUUUCCUACCAUCCCUAUCUCCCGCAUAAUCAGCAUCUACAAAACCCUUUAAUUUUAUACCUUCUUUAUUAGCACUAAACUUUAAAU